AACGAACGCUGGCGGCGUGGAUAAGACAUGCAAGUCGAACGGAAUUACUUUUGUAGCAAUACAGAAGUAAUUCAGUGGCGAACGGGUGCGUAACACGUGGGCAAUCUGCCGAGAAGUGGGGGAUAGCUCGCCGAAAGGCGAAUUAAUACCGCAUGUGGUGAGGGAAGACAUCUUCCUGAAUCCAAAGCCGGGGUAACCUGGCGCUUUUUGAGGAGCCCGCGGCCUAUCAGCUUGNGGUGAGGUAACGGCUCACCAAGGCUUUGACGGGUAGCUGGUCUGAGAGGACGACCAGUCACACUGGAACUGAGACACGGUCCAGACACCUACGGGUGGCAGCAGUCGAGAAUUUUUCUCAAUGGGGGAAACCCUGAAGGAGCGACGCCGCGUGGAGGAUGAAGGCUUUCGGGUUGUAAACUCCUGUCAUUUGAGAACAAGGUGCACCGGUUAACUGCCGGUGCAUUGAUAGUA
rnacentral:rRNA from 1 species